GACAGAGGGUGCAAACGUUGUUCGGAUUUACUGGGCGUAAAGCGCGUGUAGGCGGCUUGGCAAGUCGGAUGUGAAAGCCCACGGCUCAACCGUGGAAGCGCAUCCGAAACUGCUUCGCUCGAGUCUCGGAGAGGAAGGUGGAAUGCUUGGUGUAGAGGUGAAAUUCGUAGAUAUCAAGCAGAACACCUGCGGCGAAGGCGGCCUUCUGGACGAUGACUGACGCUGAGACGCGAAAGCGUGGGGAGCAAAC
rnacentral:rRNA from 1 species